rnacentral:snRNA from 1 species
GUGCUUGCUUCAUCAGCACAGAUACUAGAAUUGGAAUGAUACAAAGAUUAGCAUGCCCCCUGCACAAAUAUAACAUGCAAGUGCUCCAUAUUUUA